rnacentral:misc_RNA from 1 species
ACCCCAUCACACCAAAGAGGAUUAUACUAUUAAAGAUACAGUGAAGUGAAUUUUAACAAAUCCAAAUUCAAAUCCAGUGGACUUAAACCAGCAAGAUUAACACCAAAGCGUUAUUAAGCGUUUUUUCACCAUUGCAAGGGUAAACACACAACAAAUCCGACGCACAGAAUUAUAUAUCGAUGAUCAACUGAUUAAUCAAAAUUCUGGUGCUAAAUUCAUAGUUUAUUUCUAAUCACCUGGUAUGAAAUUGCAUGCAAAUUUAACAAUAUGAGGUUGCUGCAACCGAUAGAAAACUAUCUUUUUUUCUCAUAG